UACAGAGGGUGCAAGCGUUAAUCGGAUUGACUGGGCGUAAAGGGCGCGUAGGCGGUUAUUUAAGUUGGAUGUGAAACCCCUGGGCUUAACCUAGGACGUGCAUACAAGACUGGAUAACUGGAGUACUGUAGAGGGUAGUGGAAUUUCCGGUGUAGCGGUGAAAUGCGUAGAGAUCGGAAGGAACACCAGUGGCGAAGGCGGCUACCUGGACAGAUACUGACGCUGAGGCGCGAGAGCGUGGGGAGCAAACAGG
rnacentral:rRNA from 1 species